rnacentral:rRNA from 1 species
AACACAUGCAAGUCGAACGGUGAAAGAGGAGCUUGCUCCUCUGGAUCAGUGGCGAACGGGUGAGUAACACGUGAGUAACCUGCCCUUGACUCUGGGAUAAGCGUUGGAAACGACGUCUAAUACCGGAUAUGAACCGCGAAGGCAUCUUCUGCGGUUGGAAAGAAUUUUGGUCAAGGAUGGACUCGCGGCCUAUCAGCUAGUUGGUGAGGUAACGGCCCACCAAGGCGACGACGGGUAGCCGGCCUGAGAGGGUGACCGGCCACACUGGGACUGAGACACGGCCCAGACUCCUACGGGAGGCAGCAGUGGGGAAUAUUGCACAAUGGGCGAAAGCCUGAUGCAGCAACGCCGCGUGAGGGACGACGGCCUUCGGGUUGUAAACCUCUUUUAGCAGGGAAGAAGCGAAAGUGACGGUACCUGCAGAAAAAGCACCGGCUAACUACGUGCCAGCAGCCGCGGUAAUACGUAGGGUGCAAGCGUUGUCCGGAAUUAUUGGGCGUAAAGAGCUCGUAGGCGGUUUGUCGCGUCUGCUGUGAAAACGCGAGGCUCAACCUCGCGCCUGCAGUGGGUACGGGCAGACUAGAGUGCGGUAGGGGAGAUUGGAAUUCCUGGUGUAGCGGUGGAAUGCGCAGAUAUCAGGAGGAACACCGAUGGCGAAGGCAGAUCUCUGGGCCGUAACUGACGCUGAGGAGCGAAAGCGUGGGGAGCGAACAGGAUUAGAUACCCUGGUAGUCCACGCCGUAAACGUUGGGAACUAGAUGUGGGGACCAUUCCACGGUCUCCGUGUCGCAGCUAACGC